AUGGUCUCCACGCUUCUCUGCUGGUUGGUCACAUGUCUCCUGGGGGCAGGAUCAGUGGCUCCUGGAGUCACGCAGACGCCAAGACAUCUGAUCAAACUACGGGGCCAGAAGAUGACAAUUAACUGUUCCCCCCAGUCAGGACACAACUCUGUGUCCUGGUACCAGCAGGCUCGGGGCCAGGGCCCCCAGUUCCUCAUUCAGUAUUACAAUGGACAAGAGCAAGACAAAGGCAACAUUCUGGAGCGGUUCUCAGGCCAGCAGUUCACUAACCGCAGCUCGGAGCUGAACCUGAGCGCCCUGGAGCUGGGGGACACGGCCACGUUCCUCUGUGCCAGCAGCAAGGACACAGCCCUGCAGGGCCCCCAGCGCCCGGUGCACAAACCUCCCGCCCGGCUCAGGAAGUGA